UUCUCUCAUCUCAUUUGGGCUUUUACUGAAUAUUGUGGUUUUUGAUCCACUUCAGAUUUUGCUUUAUGUUCCUCUACUUGUCUUGCAAAAGCAUUUCGGCCUUCAAGCUUAUCGAUCGACAAAGGUGUUUCACUGGAUUUUGAUCUAGAAGAACGAUGAGAUUCAAUUGUUUCCUCCUAAAGUUUUCAUCAUUACUCAUGACAUUGACUGCAGUAUUUUGAGUACCCAUGGCUUUUCAUUUGUAAUGGCAUCUCCUUGUAAGUACCCACAAACCCAUCAAGCUCCUAAAGUGUCUCAACAUCAAAAGCUUCAAUCUCAUCCUGGAUGGUGGUGGUGGUUUAUGCAUAAUUCUAUCAGGUCUCACAGUCCUCAUUCUAUCUGGAGUUGAUGAUGCUAAAACCCUCUGUCGAACAAAACACGGUCAUUCCCUUUCCGAUUCAUCAUCAGAAAUCCCAAAAGGAACAACAAUGCUGCUACUUCUACUCCCACCAUUCUCAUAUCACUCUCGAAUUUCCGAUAAGCAGGUUCGAAGUUGUCAUUGAAUUGAUUAACAAGUAUUUCAGCUAAACCAUUAACUUCAUGACCUUUAGGAUUGUAUUUUAAUGCAUUGUUGAAUGUUAACCUAACAUCUGAAGCAAAUUCCAAGGGUGUUUUGUAUACAGCUUUUCUUUCACAGUACCAAGAUCCAUUGGGUUAUGAAUAAUCGAGUUAUAAUUAUGAAGCAUCAGCUUAAUUGAAUCAACUGGUUCGUUAAAGAUAUACCCAUGUUUAUGUUUCAUAAGAUUUUUUAAGAAUGUACCAUAUCUCUACUUUGAUAAGCAAGCUGUUUGGUUAUUGUAAUUGUCGAGUGUUGCUAAGUACCUAAGUUGUUUCUUAUGCAUCCCUUUUCAUGUCUUUGUUUUUUGGUUCUCAUGGAUCUGUCUAGUACUCCGAGAACUAUUUGCUGUUGAAUUUCUAGCAGGUUACCGUAUCGUGGCUAUACCCAGUCCAUGGUCCAUGGAUACAAGGAUUCCUAGCACUAUUGUUUUGCAGUCGUAAUGUUGCUCUUGUUUUGCAGUCGUAAUGUUGCUCUUGUUUUGCAGUCGUAAUGUUGCUCUUUUGUUAACAACAGGUUAGCGAGCUGAGGGACAGAGAGUUGGACUUGAGGACCUUAUUCAUAAAGGGGAAAAGAUUAAGCAAUGCAGAAAGUGAGUUAGGUGAUACAGGUCCAGUUGUAACCAAAGUUGUACAUUGUUGCUUCUUGCCUUCAGCCUUCUUGGAAAAGCGACAGAUUCGAUAAGCUACUUGAGAUACAACACACUCCACACAGGGGUCAAGGCGAUGCUGUUAAAGCUACAAGUCAUGCAAUCCGUCGUGCGCUUGUUGCACUUACAUCCAAAUCGUCACCUGCCAGCUUCAUAUUCUCUGCACUGGCAUUAACUGUAAAGUCAGAAUUUGAAAUAGCCACCAGGUUCUUACUAUUUAUAUUUGGCUACGAGUUCUAUAUCUAAUUCUUUAAAGCUAUUAAAAGUUGUAGUAUCUUAUAUCCUAGUAAUUUUUCUUUCUAAGCUUUCCGAUAAACAAAAUUCCAAUUGACAAUGCGCUCUAAAUGCUGUGAAAAUGUAAGUUUUUGAUAAUAUAACAAC